AAAUUGAAGAGUUUGAUCAUGGCUCAGAUUGAACGCUGGCGGCAGGCCUAACACAUGCAAGUCGAGCGGUAGCACAGAGAGCUUGCUCUCGGGUGACGAGCGGCGGACGGGUGAGUAAUGUCUGGGAAACUGCCUGAUGGAGGGGGAUAACUACUGGAAACGGUAGCUAAUACCGCAUAAUGUCGCAAGACCAAAGUGGGGGACCUUCGGGCCUCAUGCCAUCAGAUGUGCCCAGAUGGGAUUAGCUAGUAGGUGGGGUAACGGCUCACCUAGGCGACGAUCCCUAGCUGGUCUGAGAGGAUGACCAGCCACACUGGAACUGAGACACGGUCCAGACUCCUACGGGAGGCAGCAGUGGGGAAUAUUGCACAAUGGGCGCAAGCCUGAUGCAGCCAUGACUCGUGUGUUGAUAAGGCCUUCAGGUUCUAAAGCACUUUCAGCGGGGCGGAAGGAGUUAAGGUUAAUAACCUUGUCGAUUGACGUUACCCGCAGAAGAAGCACCGGCUAACUCCGUGCCAGCAGCCGCGGUAAUACGGAGGGUGCAAGCGUUAAUCGGAAUUACUGGGCGUAAAGCGCACGCAGGCGGUCUGUCAAGUCGGAUGUGAAAUCCCCGGGCUUAACCUGGGAACUGCAUUCGAAACUGGCAGGCUAGAGUCUUGUAGAGGGGGGUAGAAUUCCAGGUGUAGCGGUGAAAUGCGUAGAGAUCUGGAGGAAUACCGGUGGCGAAGGCGGCCCCCUGGACAAAGACUGACGCUCAGGUGCGAAAGCGUGGGGAGCAAACAGGAUUAGAUACCCUGGUAGUCCACGCCGUAAACGAUGUCGAUUUGGAGGUUGUGCCCUUGAGGCGUGGCUUCCGGAGCUAACGCGUUAAAUCGACCGCCUGGGGAGUACGGCCGCAAGGUUAAAACUCAAAUGAAUUGACGGGGGCCCGCACAAGCGGUGGAGCAUGUGGUUUAAUUCGAUGCAACGCGAAGAACCUUACCUGGUCUUGACAUCCACAGAACUUUCCAGAGAUGGAUUGGUGCCUUCGGGAACUGUGAGACAGGUGCUGCAUGGCUGUCGUCAGCUCGUGUUGUGAAAUGUUGGGUUAAGUCCCGCAACGAGCGCAACCCUUAUCCUUUGUUGCCAGCGGUUAGGCCGGGAACUCAAAGGAGACUGCCAGUGAUAAACUGGAGGAAGGUGGGGAUGACGUCAAGUCAUCAUGGCCCUUACGACCAGGGCUACACACGUGCUACAAUGGCAUAUACAAAGAGAAGCGACCUCGCGAGAGCAAGCGGACCUCAUAAAGUAUGUCGUAGUCCGGAUUGGAGUCUGCAACUCGACUCCAUGAAGUCGGAAUCGCUAGUAAUCGUAGAUCAGAAUGCUACGGUGAAUACGUUCCCGGGCCUUGUACACACCGCCCGUCACACCAUGGGAGUGGGUUGCAAAAGAAGUAGGUAGCUUAACCUUCGGGAGGGCGCUUACCACUUUGUGAUUCAUGACUGGGGUGAAGUCGUAACAAGGUAACCGUAGGGGAACCUGCGGUUGGAUCACCUCCUUACCUUAAAGAA
rnacentral:rRNA from 1 species